UGCCAGCCGCCGCGGUAAUACGUAGGGUGCGAGCGUUAAUCGGAAUUACUGGGCGUAAAGCGUGCGCAGGCGGCUUUUUAAGACAGGUGUGAAAUCCCCGGGCUUAACCUGGGAAUGGCGCUUGUGACUGGAAGGCUAGAGUGCGGCAGAGGGGGAUGGAAUUCCUGGUGGAGCGGUGAAAUGCGUAGAUAUCAGGAGGAACACCGGUGGCGAAGGCGGCUCUCUGGACGGAUACUGACGCUGAGACGCGAAAGCGUGGGGAGCAAACAGGAUUAGAUA
rnacentral:rRNA from 1 species